UACGGAGGGCGCUAGCGUUGUUCGGAAUCAUUGGGCGUAAAGGGCGUGUAGGCGGCCGAUCAAGUCGGAGGUGAAAUCCCUCGGCUCAACUGAGGAAUUGCCUUCGAUACUGUUCGGCUUGAGUCCUGGAGAGGGUAGCGGAAUUCCCGGUGUAGCGGUGAAAUGCGUAGAGACCGGGAAGAACACCAGUGGCGAAGGCGGCUACCUGGACAGGUACUGACGCUGAAGCGCGAAAGCUAGGGGAGCAAACAGG
rnacentral:rRNA from 1 species